GAGCAGCAGCAAGGAAAGAAAAAGCCAGGUGUAGCCAGUGUUGCUUAAGGUCUUUCUGCUUGUUUAUCACCUUUGGCCUCUUAUUUGUAACCCUACUGUGGAUAAUAGAAUUAAAUGUAAAUAGACACAUGCUCUCUUUAGAGAAGAGGUGGUGUCCUCCAACCAUUCCUCCUCUUAUGUAGAUAUACUGUGUAUCUUUUUGGCUCUGUGCUCCCAUCAUUUCAUUUUUAUUUGCCUGUGUUGAGACCUGGUUCCUGGAUUUCAAAGUGCUGUCAUGAGAGACAGCAAAAGAAAAGACUCCUCAUAGGUCAGGAUCCUGCUGAAAGAGGGCACUUAUGUAAUCCGAUGGUCUUUUUGGUGGUCACUUUUAUUCUCCACUUCAAUCUGAAGUAGCCUUUGAUGAGAAAGCUGCUGAAAAGCAGGAGAGUGAAAAACCAUUUCUAAAACU
rnacentral:lncRNA from 1 species